AUUACACGUCGCUUUGAGUUCUUGUUUGUAAUGUUUGACCAUUCGUCUUAUUAAAAAAAAUAGAAUUAUUAUUUAUUUUCUUUAUGAUUUGCUUUAUUAUAAAAAUUACUUUAUGUAUGACUUUUCUUUUUUUAUAUUUACACUAAUUUUUCAAAUAAAACGAAUGGUCAAACGUUGCAAGUAAAAAGUCAAAGUAACAUCUAUU
rnacentral:pre_miRNA from 1 species